GGAAACGCAUGUGGUCACAAUCGUUUGCAUGCUGCGAUCAUCAGCUCGUUCUGUUGCAUGAAAAGCUCUUCGCAGCACCAUUGCAGAUUUUCACAAUCCCUUGGAUCUGGUGGCUCCCAAUGCCCCGACACAGUCUUUUAGGUUAGAAAGAAAGAAAAGGAAGCAUGUCUGGACCGCCGCCACCGCCCCCUCCCGGCCCUCCUCCAACCUUUGCACAGGCAAACACAGAGAAGCCAAAUCUGAACAGAUCUGAGCAGCACGGGAGAAAUGCUUUACUAUCAGAUAUCGGCAAAGGAGCUCGACUGAAGAAAACCGUCACCAAUGAUCGGAGCUGCCCAGUGCUGGACAAGCCCAAAGGAGGCGGAGGAGCUGGAGGAG